GUUCAAGAAGCAUGAAGCCCAACACACAGGAAAAUCUUAUUGAUUUCUCCAGCUGUUAAAUCAGAAUCAGUGUUGAAUUCUGGGUACUCACUGCUCGGGUGAAUUUUAACAUUCACCUUGCUAAACUUGAGAAUCUCCGAAUAACCUCACACAGAGUGGAGGUCUGUGCCUUUGUGUAGAAUGGGGGACAGAAGAUGGGCCUGUAAUUCAGCUGGAGGAGAAUCCGGCCAGAGAAAGCCUUCUGGAGGAAUCCUCCCCAAAAGAGGGUAAAAUGUCAGAAGAGUAGAGAGCCUCUGCGGGGUAUCGAGCAUUUGAAAAUCAGAUGAAGAGAGAGGUUGAUACUUGCAGAAGUAGCCAGAGAGGUCCGCUCUUCACUCCACUCUGUGUCCUGGGGUGACUUUCCUCUGCUCUCUGCCCUGUGGCUGGAUCCAGCCAAUGAUGAGUCCUAGCAGAUGGGAAAGGAGGGGCCUGGGUAUUUAACUGGAAGUCUCAGCUCCACACAGCCUUUCUGUCUUCAGGUGCCAGCCUGUGUACCUCUUUGCUGAAGGGCUUGCCAAAGCACCUGGACCCUGCUGCUUGUGCCUAAGUUGAUAACCAUCGCAGAUGUUCCCUUCUGAGAAAUGACCUUGACUAAUGUCUGCAGCUGGUGUGUACAAAGGCUGGCCCUCUUCCCUCAAGGUGAGAGCAACUCAGUGAUGAAGUUCAUCCCCCAGGGCUUCUCCAGGCAUCAGGCUGAAGCUGGUCUCCAGCUGAGAGCACAUUCCCUUGUUCCUUUGUUUCCCUGUCCUGUUUCCCUCACACCCCUACUCCUGAAAAUGCUCCCCCACUAAAUACCUUGAACCAGAAUUCCUCUCUCAAGCCCUGCUUCUAUGGAGUCUGACUUAGGCAGUGCUAUUUAAUGUCAAAAAGUACAUUUAGUUGAGUUUUUAAUGGAAAUAAAUGCAAAGCACCUAAGAUCA